AUUGAACGCUAGCGGGAUGCUUUACACAUGCAAGUCGAACGCGUGGCGGACGGGUGAGUAAUAUAUCGGAACGUGCCCAGUAGCGGGGGAUAACUACCCGAAAGUGUGGCUAAUACCGCCCAAUAUUGGAGCGGCCGGUAUCGGAGUAGCUAGUGGGUGGGGUAAAGGAUCACCAAGGCAACGAUCCGUAGCUGGGUUGAGAGGAUGACCAGCCACACUGGAACUUGGACACGGCCCAGACUCCUACGGGAGGCAGCAGUGGGGAAUUUUGGACAAUGGGGGAAACCCUGAUCCAGCCAUCCCGCGUGUAUGAGAAGGCCUUCGGGUUGUAAAGUACUUUUGGCAGAGAAGCGGUAUCUGCAGAAUAAGCACCGGCUAACUACGUGCCAGCCGCCGCGGUAAUAC
rnacentral:rRNA from 1 species